AGACUCCACACGAAUAAUGCAGCGCAUCUGUGUUUCACGCCGAACAAGGACCUACGGGCGCCGGCGAUCGCCGGAUCUUUAUGAAAUUAUCUCAACAUCACCCAGAGACAUAGUAUAAUCAAAGCAGGAAGCGAGGCAGGGAUAAACACGAACCGGAUAGGAUACCGAUCAUAGGUGGAACUGACACUGCGACACACACACACCACAACAACAAGCUCCAGCUGAGCAGACGCAGGCACGGUGGCCGGCGAGAGUGGCACCGCGUCGCUCGCUGGCUGCUGACUGGGCACUGGGCCUCGACACGACAACACUUUUAUUUAGCCCACGUCACCGCGCGACCCCGCGCAAAGCACCCCACACCUAGUACGUACUCGUAGUAAAAAGGUAGCACCCCACUCCACUCCACUGGCUGACUGAGCAUCGCGCCGUGCCACGUAGGAGCACACGGCCGCCGCCGCCGUGGACGCGCGCCUCACACGCUCACGGUGGCCUCCUCUGCCGCGGCCGCGGGCGCCUCCUCCGCUGCAGCCGGCGCUUCCUCGGCGACGGCCGCCACCUCCGGCUCGGCGGCAGCGGGUGCCGCCUCCUCCUCCUUCACCUCCUCGGCCGCCGCCGCCGGCUCGGCCUCUGCCACGGCCUCCUUGGUCUCCGUCUCGACCACGGCUGGCGCCUCGGCCACCGGCUCGGCCGCAGCUGCCGGCUCGGGCUCCUUGGCCUCCUCCGUCACGGCGGCGGCCGGCGCCUCCUCCUUGGCCGCCUCGACCUCGACGGGGGCAGGCGCCUCGACCUCGGCCUCCGCCGGCGCGGGGACCUCCUCCGUCUUCGCGGCCUCCUCGGCGGCCACGGGCGUCUCCACCGCCGGCGCCUCCUCCGUCAGCGCGGCCGUCGGGUUCUGGACCUGCACGUUUGCACACUCAAUGCCAUCAGCCCCACGCACAUGCCAGCACGUACACAAACCGAUCAAGCUCGAGCUCGACCACGAUCAUGGGCGUUCGUCAGAUCGCGUAGAUCCAUCGGAACGACCAUCGAUCCGAGAACAUGAAAGAGAACAGACGAUCGAUCGAUCCGAUCGAGGCAAGCUAGCUAUACGUACAUCAGCGGUGGCCAUUGCCGUGGUGGAAGCAAGAAAAUGCCCGGAGCUAGCUGAAGCUAGUGCUACUGUGACCCUGUUGUGUGCCUGUGGCUGAUCCGAUGAGAGAGUGUGAGGCGUGUGUGUCUGUGUGGAGCAAUGGAGGCUAUAUAUAGCGGCCUCCGGAGGCCAAAACGGGGAGAACACAAACGCAAAUCGAAGGCCAAAAAAAUUUAAAAACGAAGCCGAUCGACGGGUCGAGGAAAUAAACAAGCCGAGUCCGUCUCAUGAUGAUCGGGAAUCUGGGGAGCUGUAUGUGCAAAUAAGCACGUCCUGACGACGUGCGGUUGUACGUGCGCGUCAUGCCAUCGAAGUAAAAGGUGGCCCGUGAGUCAUGACACUGUGUAAAGGGUCCAAAGAACAUACCAGGGUGCCCGUGCACGGCCCGCGUCUAGUUCAUCUCGCUCCACAUGUUGCUCGAUCAGGAUCGGUCGUGCCACACACACACAAAUAUAUGUUCGAGAGAAAAGUUGCGAGAUUCUUGAACUUAUUUUCCAUUUUCCAUAAGUUUCCGUGUACGAUCGGCCCUGCUGUCACGUUGAUGUGUGUGCCGUGUGCUGGCCAAACCUGAUCCGGCCCUGGUGGCAGUGGCAACAUGCAAGUGGGACCUUUUGAGGUGUACACAACAACACAUCUCGUCCUCCUUGCACGUUCUGCGCCGUCCUUUCCAUCGGACCGUCGAUCCCUUACCGAUUAAUUAAAUAUAAAUGAAGCCCUCGCCGAUUUAGCCGUAGCAGUAAUCGAUUCCAUCAUCUGUGAUUUGGAUCGAAACGUAUUUGAUUAGCCUUUGUUUUGUACGUACGAGAUUACGAUAGCUGAGCAGGGGCGGCUGUCGUCCGGGUUGGCGUGGAGACAAUGGAGUUGGAACCGAUGAAUGUGCGCGCCUGAAUAGUCGCGAUUUGGUUUUGGGAUUUAGGUUAGCUCUCCGUCUCAGGGUAGUACGUGGCCACCCGGCCUAUGCUACCGUAUAGACUUUCUUUUCCAGCAGUACGUAUGUUCUUUUUCUUUUUCCUUUUUCUUUUCGAGAUGUGACGUGAUGUGGAUCGGUGAAACCUAAUUAAGGUCCUGGUUACGCAUAUGUUUGCUGAUGGAGAGGGGGAGGGCGGCAUUCACUCAUUUUGCAAAACGAUUAUAUAUAUAUAUAUAUAUUGUCAUACACAGUAUGUAUGAUGUGCUAGGUAAUCCAGGGGUAAAAGUUUCUUUUAUUAUAGAAAAAAAAAUAAGGUGGUGGUGUCGAAUGGACCAAGGUUUUUUGUGAGAGCAAUUCCAGAUCCCCAAGCAAUCACCGCUGGAAUCGUGUCCCUGUUCUAGCGCUACAGUGGUAGCCUGCAUGUGUCAUGCUUCAGAGUCGAUCAGCAACAACAAUUAUGACAGCAACUGGAUGGAUGUCCCCCAUCACCUUUGGCUCUGGGGCUCGUCUACUUGCUCCGGCCUCCACCACCUUUGCCCGAAAGCUAGCGUAGAUAUAUGCAAGACGAUUACUACCGCGCCGCAGGGGUAGUUGUCCAUGGAUCAACCUCACGCUCCAAAACAAGAAACUUAUCAGAAAAGCAACGGGGAUAUCAUCAGCGGGACAGCGAGAUUACACUAACACGAAGUAGCACGCCACUAAUUAAUCGUCGCCACCUGAUCUCUUCCCUCGCCGGUCACCGCCGCCGAAAGGUCGAGAGACGGACAUGCGCAGCAAGGUAGCUGAGCUCUUACAAAAUGAGUGAAACCCCUUGGUUGCCCAUGUAAUCUUCUUUCCUCCUCUAAACUAAUUGCUUGCAGAUGAUUUUUGGCCCCGGUGGAGUGGAGGCGAUGGGGUUGGGCAGCUUUCUUUUCGAGAAAAUUCUCGCCGCCGUCGUUGUCGUCGCUUUAAACCGGCCAUUCAGAUCAUCAGAUGGCAUGGAAAGCGACGAGCAAGCAGAGUCCGCACCGGGCGUCCAACAUGCGCCGGCCACGGCCAGUGCCCGGUAGGACGGUCCGCUGGGCUGAUUGGUGCCACAUCACGCAGAAGAGAUAUACUAGAGUAGAGCAGUCGACAUGGCCGGCUGUCAGCCCCGGCCCCGCCUGCGUGUCCCUCCACCGCCGUGAUCUCCCGUGGCACCGGCCGGCCAGCUGCGCUGCUCGCUUUCGGCGGCCGUGCCAUGCCAUGCCAUGCCAUGCCAUGUGUGGUCGCCAUCGCGCACGCCGGUUCGAUCCAGACUUUCGUGUUGGCCAGCCAGCGGUGGGGUGUGGCUGCGGCUACAUAACGCCGAGCUUUCACAAAGGUGACGGGUGAGGCGCCGCAUAGGGAGCCACGGAGUUGGUGGGCGCAGGGAGCGGGGGGUGGGAUGAUUGGAGCCCAUGACCCGGAAGCGAUGGUGAGGUGGCGCCACGGCUAGGGGCGGUGGAGGAGGGGCCCGCGUCACAGUGCCCGUG
rnacentral:lncRNA from 1 species